GACGAACGCUGGCGGCGUGCUUAACACAUGCAAGUCGAGCGGAGCGGCGAACGGGUGAGUAACGCGUGAGUAACUGCCCCCCUCUCUGUGAUAACAGUUGGAAACGGCUGCUAAUACCGGAUAGUGGGGGAUGACUCGCGUCCUCUCAGCUUGUGGGUGGGGUAGUGGCCUACCAAGGCGACGACGGGUUGCCGGCCUGAGAGGGCGACCGGCCACGUUGGGCUGAGAUACGGCCCAAACUCUUACGGGGGGCAGCAGUGGGGAAUAUUGCACAAUGGUGGAAACCCUGAUGCAGCAACGCCGCGUGCUGGAGGGCGGCCUUCGGGUUGUAAACCGCUUUCAGCCAUGACGCGGUAGUGGCAGAAGAAGCACCGGCUAACUACGUGCCAGCCGCCGCGGUAAUUC
rnacentral:rRNA from 1 species